rnacentral:rRNA from 1 species
CUAAGCAUGAUACCGAAACUGUGGAUGUGCGUUUAUGCACGUGGUAGGAGAGCGUUCUAGCGGCGGUGAAGCAUGACCGAGAGGACAUGUGGAGCUUCUAGAAGUGAGAAUGCCGGUAUGAGUAACGAAAGACAGGUGAGAAUCCUGUCCGCCGCAAGACUAAGGUUUCCUGGGGCAGGCUCGUCCGCCCAGGGUAAGUCGGGACCUAAGGCGAGGCCGAGAGGCGUAGUCGAUGGACAACAGGUUGAAAUUCCUGUACUGCACCGAAUCGUUAUGAGCGAUGGAGGGACGCAGGAGGCUAGCAGCGCGUGGUGCUGGAUACCACGUUCAAGCGUCAAGUCUGAGAGCGAGUCAAAUGCUUGCUCUCAUAAGGACAAGGCGUGAUGAGGAGCGAAAUUAAAGUAGCGAAGGCUGCGACGUCACACUGCCGAGAAAAGCUUCUAGCCAGAGACGGUGCACCCGUACCGCAAACCGACACAGGUAGUCGAGGAGAGUAUCCUCAGGUGAGCGAGAGAACUCUCGUUAAGGAACUCGGCAAAAUGGCCCCGUAACUUCGGGAGAAGGGGCGCUGGUCGCAAGAUCAGCCGCAGUGAAAAGGCCCAAGCAACUGUUUAUCAAAAACACAGGCAUCUGCAAAAUCGUAAGAUGAAGUAUAGGUGCUGACACCUGCCCGGUGCUGGAAGGUUAAGAGGAGAGCUUAGCGCAAGCGAAGGUUUGAAUUGAAGCCCCAGUAAACGGCGGCCGUAACUAUAACGGUCCUAAGGUAGCGAAAUUCCUUGUCGGGUAAGUUCCGACCUGCACGAAAGGUGUAAUGAUUUGGGCACUGUCUCAACGAGAGACUCGGUGAAAUUAUAAUACCCGUGAAGAUGCGGGUUACCCGCGACAGGACGGAAAGACCCCAUGGAGCUUUACUGCAGUUUAAUAUUGGGUAUCUGUCAAGCAUGUACAGGAUAGGUAGGAGCCGGAGAAGAUAGGACGCCAGUCUUAUC